UACGAAGGGGGCUAGCGUUGUUCGGAAUCACUGGGCGUAAAGGGCGCGUAGGCGGCCGAUCAAGUCGGGGGUGAAAGCCUGUGGCUCAACCACAGAAUUGCCUUCGAUACUGUUUGGCUUGAGACCGGAAGAGGUUAGUGGAACUGCGAGUGUAGAGGUGAAAUUCGUAGAUAUUCGCAAGAACAUCAGUGGCGAAGGCGGCCAUCUGGGACAACACUGACGCUGAAGCACGAAAGCGUGGGGAGCAAACAGG
rnacentral:rRNA from 1 species